rnacentral:lncRNA from 1 species
GUAAGCUUAAUUGCUAGUCUAAAGAGGGACAGCUCUUUAGACACUAGGAAAAAACCUUAUAGAGAGAGUAAAAUCCUCAAUUACCAUAGUUGGCUUAAAAGCAGCCAUCAAUUAAGAAAGCGUUCAAGCUCAACACUAACCACCCCAAAAAUACCAAACACAUAGCUGAACUCCUCACACCACAUUGGAUUAAUCUAUCACCAUAUAGAAGCAAUAAUGCUAGUAUAAGUAACAUGAAUAUUUUCUCCACUGCAUAAGCCCAAAUCGGAUCGAAAACCUCACCGAUACCUAACAGCCAGGCAUAGCAAGCACAAACAAGCCCAUGCUACCUUCACUGUUAACCCAACACAGGCAUGCCUCAAGGAAAGGUUAAAAAAAGUAAAAGGAACUCGGCAAACCUACAAAUACUAGCCCUAAAUUUCAACUCAAGCUCCCUCCCACUAAUAGGCCUCCUCCUAGCAGCAGCAGGAAAAUCAGCUCAAUUCGGUCUUCACCCCUGACUACCCUCUGCCAUAGAAGGCCCAACUCCAGUCUCAGCCCUACUUCACUCCAGUACCAUAGUCAUUGCCGGAGUGUUCUUACUCAUCCGCUUCCACCCUCUAAUAGAAACCAACACAAUAAUUCAAAAUCUUACAUUAUGCCUGGGGGCUAUUACUACCCUAUUUACAGCCAUCUGCGCCCUUACACAAAACGACAUUAAAAAGAUUGUAGCCUUCUCCACCUCAAGCCAACUAGGUCUAAUAAUAGUCACCAUUGGCAUUAGCCAUCCCAAGUAUGUGAUCUGUGGCUGACAGCAGUAAUGAUGUUAUUAAUUACAAUAGUUUCAUACAUUGAGCACUCACUACACAGCAGCCAGUGUAGUACUGCUUUAUGUAAAUUGAAUCCUCACAGUAACCAUAAAAAGCAGAUACUCUUAUUAUCCCUGAACCGUACUUUGAAGAAAACACUAUGAUAAAAUGAAACUCAGAACAGAUUGGAGAAAGACAAAGUCACACAGCUGGUAAGAGACAAAACCAGAAAUCACGCCAA